GAUGAACGUUGGCGGCGUGCCUAAUACAUGCAAGUCGAACGAAGACUGUAGUAAUACUGUCUUAGUGGCGAACGGGUGAGUAACGCGUGGGUGACCUGCCCCGAAGUGUGGGAUAACAGUUCGAAAGAACUGCUAAUACCGCAUAACAUCCAAGAGAUUAGAAGCUUUUGGAUUAAAGGAGUAAUUCGCUUCGGGAGGGGCCCGCGUCCCAUCAGCUAGUUGGUAAGGUAAUGGCUUACCAAGGCGAUGACGGGUAGGGGACCUGAGAGGGUGGCCCCCCACAAUGGAACUGAAACACGGUCCAAUACACCUACGGGUGCAGCAGUAGGAAUAUUAGUAAUGGGCGAAAGCCUGAACUAGCAACGCCGCGUGUGCGAAAGAAGGCCUUCGGGUCGUAAAGCACUUUUUGAGAGGAUGAGGAAGGACGGUACUCUCAGAAUAAGUCUCGGCUAAACUACGUG
rnacentral:rRNA from 1 species